GGGUGAGUAAUACAUCGGAACGUACCCUGAAGUGGGGGAUAACGUAGCGAAAGUUACGCUAAUACCGCAUAUUCUGUGAGCAGGAAAGAGGGGGAUCGCAAGACCUCUUGCUUUAGGAGCGGCCGAUGUCGGAUUAGCUAGUUGGUGAGGUAAAGGCUCACCAAGGCGACGAUCCGUAGCGGGUCUGAGAGGAUGAUCCGCCACACUGGGACUGAGACGCGGCCCAGACUCCUACGGGAGGCAGCAGUGGGGAAUUUUGGACAAUGGGCGCAAGCCUGAUCCAGCCAUGCCGCGUGAGUGAAGAAGGCCUUCGGGUUGUAAAGCUCUUUCGGUGGGGAAGAAAUUGCUUCGGUUAAUACCUGGAGUAGAUGACGGUACCCGCAUAAGAAGCACCGGCUAACUACGUGCCAGCAGCCGCGGUAAUACGUAGGGUGCGAGCGUUAAUCGGAAUUACUGGGCGUAAAGCGUGCGCAGGCGGUUGUAUAAGUCAGAUGUGAAAUCCCCGGGCUCAACCUGGGAACUGCAUUUGAGACUGUACGGCUAGAGUUUGGCAGAGGGGGGUGGAAUUCCACGUGUAGCAGUGAAAUGCGUAGAGAUGUGGAGGAACACCGAUGGCGAAGGCAGCCCCCUGGGCCAAUACUGACGCUCAUGCACGAAAGCGUGGGGAGCAACAGGAUUAGAUACCCUGGUAGUCCACGCCCUAAACGAUGUCAACUAGGUGUUGGAAGGGUUAAACCUUUUAGUGCCGAAGCUAACGCGUGAAGUUGACCGCCUGGGGAGUACGGCCGCAAGGCUAAAACUCAAAGGAAUUGACGGGGACCCGCACAAGCGGUGGAUGAUGUGGAUUAAUUCGAUACGACACGAAGAACCUUACCCAGGUUUGACAUGGUUGUAGUAGUGAACCGAAAGGGGAACGAGCCUUCGGGCAGCAAUCACAGGUGUUGCAUGGCUGUCGUCAGCUCGUGUCGUGAGAUGUUGGGUUAAGUCCCGCAACGAGCGCAACCCCUGUUGCCAGUUACAUGUGUCUGGCGAGACUGCCGGUAUCAAGCCGGAGGAAGGUGGGGAUGACGUCAAGUCAGCAUGACCUUUAUAUCUGGGGCUACACACACGCUACAAUGGUCGGUACAAUGCGUUGCCAAGCCGCGAGGCGGAGCUAAUCGCAUCAAAACCGGCCUCAGUUCGGAUAGGAGGCUGCAAUCCGCCUCCUUGAAGUCGGAGUUGCUAGUAAACGCCGGUCAGCUAUACGGCGUUGAAUACGUUCCCGGGCCUUGUACACACCGCCCGUCACGUCAUGGGAGCUGGUAACACCUGAAGUCGGUGUGCUAACCGCGAGGAGGCAGCUGCCGAG
rnacentral:rRNA from 1 species